rnacentral:rRNA from 1 species
GACGAACGCUGGCGGCGUGCUUAACACAUGCAAGUCGAGCGGUAAGGCCCUUUCGGGGGUACACGAGCGGCGAACGGGUGAGUAACACGUGGGUGACCUGCCCUCAGCUCUGGGAUAAGCCCGGGAAACUGGGUCUAAUACUGGAUAUUACUCUGCGGUGCAUGCCGUGGGGUGGAAAGCCUUGUGCGGCUGGGGAUGGGCCCGCGGCCUAUCAGCUUGUUGGUGGGGUGAUGGCCUACCAAGGCGACGACGGGUAGCCGGCCUGAGAGGGCGACCGGCCACACUGGGACUGAGACACGGCCCAGACUCCUACGGGAGGCAGCAGUGGGGAAUCUUGCGCAAUGGGCGAAAGCCUGACGCAGCGACGCCGCGUGAGGGAUGACGCCUGU